GACGAACGCUGGCGGCGUGCUUAACACAUGCAAGUCGAGCGGAAAGGCCCUUUUUGGGUGCUCGAGCGGCGAACGGGUGAGUAACACGUGAGUAACCUGCCCUGUGCUUGGGGAUAACCCUCGGAAACGGGGGCUAAUACCGGAUAUUCACUUUCUGCCGCAUGGUGGGGGUGGUAAGGAUUUUUGGUCGUGGGAGUGGGCUCGCGGCCUAUCAGCUUGUUGGUGGGGUGGAUGGCCUACCAACGGCGACGACGGGAGCCGGCCUGAGAGGGCGACCGGCCACACUGGGACUGAGACACGGCCCAGACUCCUACGGGAGGCAGCAGGUGGGGAAUAGUUGCACAAUGGGCGCAAGCCUGAUGCAGCGACGCCGCGU
rnacentral:rRNA from 1 species